UACGUAGGGUGCGAGCGUUUGUCCGGAAUUAUUGGGCGUAAAGAGCUUGUAGGCGGUUUGUCGCGUCUGCCGUGAAAAUUCGAGGCUCAACCUCGAACUUGCGGUGGGUACGGGGCAGACUAGAGUGAUGUAGGGGAGACUGGAAUUCCUGGUGUAGCGGUGAAAUGCGCAGAUAUCAGGAGGAACACCGAUGGCGAAGGCAGGUCUCUGGGCAUUAACUGACGCUGAGGAGCGAAAGCAUGGGGAGCGAACAGG
rnacentral:rRNA from 1 species